AGCGGCGGACGGGUGAGUAAUGCCUAGGAAAUUGCCCUGAUGUGGGGGAUAACCAUUGGAAACGAUGGCUAAUACCGCAUAACGCCUACGGGCCAAAGAGGGGGACCUUCGGGCCUCUCGCGUCAGGAUAUGCCUAGGUGGGAUUAGCUAGUUGGUGAGGUAAGGGCUCACCAAGGCGACGAUCCCUAGCUGGUCUGAGAGGAUGAUCAGCCACACUGGAACUGAGACACGGUCCAGACUCCUACGGGAGGCAGCAGUGGGGAAUAUUGCACAAUGGGCGCAAGCCUGAUGCAGCCAUGCCGCGUGUGUGAAGAAGGCCUUCGGGUUGUAAAGCACUUUCAGUCGUGAGGAAGGUAGUGUAGUUAAUAGCUGCAUUAUUUGACGUUAGCGACAGAAGAAGCACCGGCUAACUCCGUGCCAGCAGCCGCGGUAAUACGGAGGGUGCGAGCGUUAAUCGGAAUUACUGGGCGUAAAGCGCAUGCAGGUGGUUUGUUAAGUCAGAUGUGAAAGCCCGGGGCUCAACCUCGGAAUUGCAUUUGAAACUGGCAGACUAGAGUACUGUAGAGGGGGGUAGAAUUUCAGGUGUAGCGGUGAAAUGCGUAGAGAUCUGAAGGAAUACCGGUGGCGAAGGCGGCCCCCUGGACAGAUACUGACACUCAGAUGCGAAAGCGUGGGGAGCAAACAGGAUUAGAUACCCUGGUAGUCCACGCCGUAAACGAUGUCUACUUGGAGGUUGUGGCCUUGAGCCGUGGCUUUCGGAGCUAACGCGUUAAGUAGACCGCCUGGGGAGUACGGUCGCAAGAUUAAAACUCAAAUGAAUUGACGGGGGCCCGCACAAGCGGUGGAGCAUGUGGUUUAAUUCGAUGCAACGCGAAGAACCUUACCUACUCUUGACAUCCAGAGAACUUUCCGAGAUGGAUUGGUGCCUUCGGAACUCUGAGACAGUGCUGCAGGCUUCGUCAGCUCGGGUGUGAAAGGUGGGUAAGUCCCCACGAGGCAACCUUAUCUUGUUGCCGCGAUUAAGGCGGGAAUCCCGGGGAAUGCCGGGAUAACCGAAGAAGGGGGGGCAACUCCAUCUCUGGCCC
rnacentral:rRNA from 1 species